rnacentral:rRNA from 1 species
GUGUCAGCCGCCGCGGUAAUACGGAGGGUGCAAACGUUGCUCGGAAUCAUUGGGCGUAAAGCGCACGUAGGCGGCGGCGUAAGCGGGAUGUGAAAGCCCAGGGCUCAACCCUGGAAGUGCAUCCCGAACUGUGUCGCUUGAAUCUCGGAGGGGGACAGAGAAUUCCCGGUGUAGAGGUGAAAUUCGUAGAUAUCGGGAGGAAUACCAGUGGCGAAGGCGCUGUCCUGGACGAAGAUUGACGCUGAGGUGCGAAAGCGUGGGGAGCAAACAGGAUUAGAAACCCGCGUAGUCC